rnacentral:tRNA from 1 species
GGGCGGGUAGCUCAGCUGGGAGAGCGCUUCCCUCGCACGGAAGAGGCCGUGAGUUCGAAUCUCAUCCCGUCCACCA